rnacentral:rRNA from 1 species
UGGGGAAUAUUGCGCAAUGGGGGAAACCCUGACGCAGCAACGCCGCGUGAAGGAAGAAGGUCUUCGGAUCGUAAACUUUUGUCUUAUGGGAAGAAAAAGGACGGUACCAUAGGAGGAAGCCACGGCUAACUACGUGCCAGCAGCCGCGGUAAUACGUAGGUGGCAAGCGUUGUCCGGAUUUACUGGGUGUAAAGGGCGUGUAGGCGGGUAGGUAAGUCAGAUGUGAAAUACCGGGGCUCAACCCCGGGGCUGCAUUUGAAACUGCAUAUCUUGAGUAUCGGAGAGGAAAGCGGAAUUCCUAGUGUAGCGGUGAAAUGCGUAGAUAUUAGGAGGAACACCGGUGGCGAAGGCGGCUUUCUGGACGACAACUGACGCUGAGGCGCGAAAGCGUGGGUAGCAAACAGG